CACAGUUGGUACAGCCGUUGUACAGUCAAACAACGAAAUAAUUCAUUAUUCAAAUCAUUCGCUUCGUCGGGAUUAAAUUCAUAACUUUUGUACAAAGUUCGUAAAAAUGCAAUUGAUACGUAUAUCAAGAAGGUAAAGAACCCGAAAAGAAAAUAAUUUGACGCUAUAAAUGACGAAUACACGCUGAUAAGUACUAUUACAAUUAAUCCUCAAGAAUGUAAACAAGAUGGUUUUGAGGUAAACAAUAAGUAGAUAAUUAUAAUAUUACUGUUCGCGCAAAGUAUUACACAACAUAGUUUGAUAAAUUCAGGUAGACCAAAACUGCUUAAAAUAAAACGUUUAAAAGUCUGCUAGAAAUAUUUCGAUGAAGGACGAUUCAAAAAAUAUUUUUAGUCGAUUUAAUGCAAAUUUAAGAUAUCUUGUUUAUGGUAUCGCCAAAUCGUUUUCAUCUCCGUCGGAUAAAAAUUUAAUUUUAAGCGUUCAAUAUUGAAUGAGAUAAAGUUGAAUGCGGUUUAAAAACGUUUUAUUACUAUAUGAGUUAUACUCGAGACGAUACAAAAAUCUCAGUUUUGACCACCAACAGGUCACCAAACAGGUAAUAUUUUUUUAAAUCUCUGACGCAUUCAUAAAAUGUAUUCUUCACGUUCGUACUUUUUUGUUCUUUUUUUUUCUUUAUAUGUAAUCAUAAAAAAAAGAAAAACACGAAAAGAAAAAAAAAAGGAAUAUUUUCGAUUCAGCAUGUUCACGAUGUGUCAUGUGUGCUGUCAUUAUUCUUGACUUCGCGGCGGCUAUAAGCAGAGAUAAUAAUAAGAAUUCACGAGAGCGAAACGUGUUGUGUCUUCCAUAUACUGUAUCGGUAUUACUUCGUUUUCUUUGCGCCCGUCUAGUCGCAAAGACAUAUUAAUGUUUUAUUUAAUAUGACAUGUCGACCGACUAGUUUGUAAGUUAUUUCACUUAUGCAACAGUUCUUCGAUUUCCGAUGUUUUAACAUCAAAGCAAUUAUAGACUUUGAAUGUGAUCGUCGAAAGAAAUUUGAAAGUGAAGGAGCGAUAAGAAUUGUAAGGUGCAUCAAGGUAAGUAGCUACUAGGUUCUUUGAAAUCGUUACAAGAAAAUCGAUCGGUGUAUUGUAAAAAUUGUCAAAGACGACAUCGCUUAAUAAGAGAUGAUUGUAAGUAUUUCUUCGCAAUAUAUAAACGAUGAUUAAUGAUUAGCGCCAGUUAUUUGACGAAAUAAUGCGGACGAAUAGAUCAGGUGGAAAUUCUUGCGAUAGCGGCAUUGUAAUUCAGUGUUUUACAAUUGAAUGAAAAGAGAUAAUUAGGAUUGCAUAAUAACUCGUUCUAUUCGUAUUAGGCGACAUGGUACAUCCUACUGCGUUAUGCCACUUUUGAUUUGACUAUGUAUAGGGAAAAAAAUAAACCGUGAUUUUUUAAAAGAAUAUUGUGAUACGAGAGUGGUUUAGAAUUAAUUGUAUCGUCAAGAUUACUUAUUGCGUAUGAUAACAUAAAUUCAUUAAUGCGAUUAGCCAAAAAAUGAGAAAAUUUGUUAAUUAUGAUUUUUCAAUCUAUUUAAUUCUCUAAGCGAUUAUUUCAUCAUUCUUCUUCAUGUAUAAGAAUUUUAUGUAUAAGAAGAAAUAUUUAUGAUAACUCAGAUGGAGAAGAAAAAUGUGAUCGCAAUUGUAUUACUUUUUCCUUAGGAGACUGCAAAUAUGUGUAAAAAAUUGUUUAUGUUAUAAUCUGCUCGAAUAAGUUGGAAUAAGGAAAGAAUAGAAACAUUCUAUAGAGACUGGAGAUAUUAAAAAAUAUUUUUCCACGAUCGUACGUGAAGAUUAUCUUCGAAGGAUAUGAAGUAAGAGAAAAA